rnacentral:rRNA from 1 species
UGAGGAAUAUUGCGCAAUGGACGAAAGUCUGACGCAGCCAUGCCGCGUGAAGGAUGAAUGCCCUAUGGGUUGUAAACUUCUUUUGUACGGGAAAAAACUCCUCUACGUGUAGAGGACUGAUGGUACCGUAAGAAUAAGCACCGGCUAACUCCGUGCCAGCAGCCGCGGUAAUACGGAGGGUGCAAGCGUUAUCCGGAUUUAUUGGGUUUAAAGGGUCCGUAGGCGGACCAUUAAGUCAGUGGUGAAAGCC